rnacentral:rRNA from 1 species
UAAGCAAUUAUACCGUGAAACUGCGAAUGGCUCAUUAAAUCAGUUAUCGUUUAUUUGAUAAUACCUUACUACUUGGAUAACCGUGGUAAUUCUAGAGCUAAUACAUGCUGAAAAUCCCGACUUCGGAAGGGAUGUGUUUAUUAGAUAAAAAACCAAUGCCCUUCGGGGCUUUUUGGUGAUUCAUGAUAACUUUACGGAUCGCAUAGCCUUGCGCUGGCGACGGUUCAUUCAAAUUUCUGCCCUAUCAACUUUCGAUGGUAAGGUAUUGGCUUACCAUGGUUUCAACGGGUAACGGGGAAUUAGGGUUCGAUUCCGGAGAGGGAGCCUGAGAAACGGCUACCACAUCCAAGGAAGGCAGCAGGCGCGCAAAUUACCCAAUCCCGACACGGGGAGGUAGUGACAAUAAAUACUGAUACAGGGCUCUUUUGGGUCUUGUAAUUGGAAUGAGUACAAUUUAAACCUCUUAACGAGGAACAAUUGGAGGGCAAGUCUGGUGCCAGCAGCCGCGGUAAUUCCAGCUCCAAUAGCGUAUAUUAAAGUUGUUGCAGUUAAAAAGCUCGUAGUUGAAACUUGGGCCUGGCUGGCGGGUCCGCCUCACCGCGUGCACUCGUCCGGCCGGGCCUUCCUUCUGAAGAACCUCAUGGCCCUUCACUGGGCGUGCUGGGAAUCAGGACUUUUACUUUGAAAAAAUUAGAGUGUUCAAAGCAGGCCUUUGCUCGAAUACGUUAGCAUGGAAUAAUAAAAUAGGGCGUGCGUUUCUAUUUUGUUGGUUUCUAGAGACGCCGCAAUGAUUAACAGGAACAGUCGGGGGCAUCAGUAUUCAGUUGUCAGAGGUGAAAUUCUUGGAUUUACUGAAGACUAACUACUGCGAAAGCAUUUGCCAAGGAUGUUUUCAUUAAUCAGUGAACGAAAGUUAGGGGAUCGAAGACGAUCAGAUACCGUCGUAGUCUUAACCGUAAACUAUGCCGACUAGGGAUCGGGCGAUGUUCUUUUUCUGACUCGCUCGGCACCUUACGA